rnacentral:ncRNA from 1 species
UAUAGUAGAGGCGCGAUAUUCAAAAGUAGUAUGACGGAUGUAUAUGGAUACAUAGGAUGGAGUGUGAAAGGGGAUAUCGCCGAAGGAGGCAAUGGUCCAUACAGUUGCAGCCUGGUUAUGCAGUUAAUAGCUGUAUGACUGUCAUCAUUAGAUGGAGAGCUACUUA